AGAGUUUGAUCCUGGCUCAGAACGAACGCUGGCGGCAGGCUUAACACAUGCAAGUCGAGCGCCUCGCAAGAGGAGCGGCAGACGGGUGAGUAACGCGUGGGAAUCUACCCAUCUCUACGGAACAACUCCGGGAAACUGGAGCUAAUACCGUAUACGUCCUUCGGGAGAAAGAUUUAUCGGAGAUGGAUGAGCCCGCGUUGGAUUAGCUAGUUGGUGGGGUAAUGGCCUACCAAGGCGACGAUCCAUAGCUGGUCUGAGAGGAUGAUCAGCCACAUUGGGACUGAGACACGGCCCAAACUCCUACGGGAGGCAGCAGUGGGGAAUAUUGGACAAUGGGGGCAACCCUGAUCCAGCAAUGCCGCGUGUGUGAAGAAGGCCUUCGGGUUGUAAAGCACUUUAGGCGGGGAAGAAGAUGCGUAUUUUAAGAGAUAACGUAUU
rnacentral:rRNA from 1 species